AUACGUAGGGUGCAAGCGUUAAUCGGAAUUACUGGGCGUAAAGCGUGCGCAGGCGGUUUUGUAAGACAGUGGUGAAAUCCCCGGGCUCAACCUGGGAACUGCCAUUGUGACUGCAAGGCUGGAGGGCGGCAGAGGGGGGUGGAAUUCCGCGUGUAGCAGGGAAAUGCGUAGAUAUGCGGAGGAACACCGAUGGCGAAGGCAAUCCCCUGGGCCUGCACUGACGCUCAUGCACGAAAGCGUGGGGAGCAAACAGGAUUAGAUACCCUGGUAGUCCACGCCCUAAACGAUGUCAACUGGUUGUUGGGGAUUUAUUUUCUCAGUAACGAAGCUAACGCGUGAAGUUGACCGCCUGGGGAGUACGGCCGCAAGGUUAAAACUCAAAUGAAUCGACGGGG
rnacentral:rRNA from 1 species